GUAUGUUGAUUAGAAUGAUCUAGUUCCGAGUUGUAGGGGUGGGAGGGAGUUACUAUGUUUCAGCUAAGCUUGGAUAGAGAAAAAAAUCUAUUUAAUCGACGAGGUAUAUAAAGAUGUACUGAAAAUAUAUUUUGGUAACUCCUAAUUGGAUAAAUAUGAAUAAUUUUUUAAUCUUAAUAAAUAUCACAAUCUAUAUAUCUAUUUAUAUAACUGCAUUUUUGACAAGAAAUAUUGAUAAAAAAAAAAAGGUAAAAAAAUCCGAUUUUUAAAAUAGAAAAGGCAUGUUUUGGUUGAAGGUAACAAUUUAAUAUGAUCAAUGAUUUGUAAUAAAUAGUUGAAAAAACGAGAAAUAGGUGAAAUUAUUAUACUGUAAGCUGCAGGUUUAGUAUUAUAUUUAUCUUUCAUCAUAAUGGAUGCUAUAUUAUCGAUGACAUUUUAUAAUAAUGGAGAUAUAUCCUAUAUUAUAUCUGCAAUACCAGGAAAUAAUUCUACAAUUUCAACUAUUUGAACUAUUCACAAUUAUAAUAGAUAAACAUGAUGCAAUAUAUUUCAUUCGGCUGAAGAAGAAAUUCAAUUGACAAUGGAAACAGAUUUCUGCUAAAAGAAGAGUAAAACUGAUUGUAAUAUAUAUCAUUGUUUACUAUUUUACGUUUAACUAUUUUAGAUCUACAAAAAUUGACAUUUCAUUUUAAUAAAUGUAUUUUAAAAUUACAUUUGACCUUGAUAUUUUUAUAAUUUAUCAAGAUAUAGGUAUAGGACAUAGGUCUAGGAAAAAGGAGACAAAGGAAUAAAGCUGCCGAUGGUUUUAUUUUUUCACAAUGAGAAAAAGGCGGAUUAGUAUAUAUUUCAAAUAAUUUAAAUAUAAAAUUAGUUAUAGCAUGUUAAUAAGCAUGGUAGUGUUAUAUUCAUAGAAAUGCUCAAAUUAUCGUUAUUUAAAUAUACCUGGCUUGGCUCUUUUGGAUGUUUGUGAUUUUUGCUUCAGGAAAUCGAAGAUAAUUUUAUUCUUAUAUGAAUUUUAUGAUAAAUUUUCUAUUCUAUGGAGAAAAAUGCUAUGAAAUACACCUGAAUAUGUAUGUAUUAUAUAAAUAUUAUUUUUAUUAUAUUUAGAAAACGAUGCCGGAUAUAUGAACAGUAUAAAUAUAAAGCUUAUAUUCAAGAUAACAACGGGGUGAAUAACUAUCGAUAUUUGAUAUAUUUAUGAAGAUAAGUUUUCAAUUAUAUUUAAAUAUGAUAAUAUAUAAGUUGAAAUAAAUUUUUAUUGAAAUUUUUUAUUUAAAAGAAAAAGAUGAAGGAUUAAAUUACUAACUUUAUAGUAUCUAGAUACAUUUCAGAAAAUUUGUGAUAUAGAAAAAAAUUUUCUAAAUGGAAGAGAGGUCAUUGUUAUAUCAUCUUAGCCGAGAUUUGAUUAAGACUUGGCUGAAUCUAAAUUUAUUUUAGAUAAUAAAAAAAGUAUGUGUCAGGUAAAUUAAAUGUUCAAAAAACUUACAUAUUUUAAAAAUGUAUUUAAAAUAUGUUGUUAAAAAUAACUUCGGUUAUAUCAAGAUUAUAGUUUAUCUAAAUUGAUGAACAUGAGUUUUCAUUUUCGAUUUUACUUUUUGAAGAAAAUAUCGAAUAUUAAAUCGAAUAUAUCUAUUCAAGAAAAAUUUAAAUCAAGAUAAAUUGUUACAACUUGAAAUGCUGAUUACGUUCAAUUAAAUGGAUCAUUGGAUAAUUGAAAUAUAUUCGACAAGAUUUUUAAAUUAAUAACUUUAUAAAUCUCUCCUAAUUAGAAAAGAAAUAUAAAUGUUCUUUUUUUUUAUUGAGAAAUGAUUUUAAAUCUAAUAAAUAAUGAUCUGAAAUUAAUUCGAGUAAAAUCUGUCGUACAUACAACAAUUGAAGAUUUUGAAUGUAAAAAAAAUUGACGCAAAAUUAAAAUAGGAUUUAAUUUUUCAUUAAAAAGUAAGAAUUGUUUAAUAAAAUAUAUUUUUAAUUAAGUACAUAAUAUUCAAUCAGUAAUAAAUUUUUUCAUUUCAGAUUUAAUGAUGAGUGUACAUUUUCAGAACAUAUUUGAAAAUAUUUAAAAAAAUAUAUAUAUAUAAAAUUGAAGUAAUUUUCUUUGUAAUAAAAAAUAAUAUAAAGUGAAUAGAAUAAUAGAAAUACAAAUAGUAAUCUAUAACAUCUGGCAUAGUUCGAAUUAUUAAAAAUGAUUAUAUUCUUCAAAAAACAUAACCUUAAGUUAGUAUUAAAUCAAUAUUAAAAUACAAGUUUCAAUUUGAAUAUAAUUAAAAAACUAUACUAUCAUAAAAACAUAGAAGAAAAACAAAGUUGAUUAUAAUGUAUUGUGAAAGUAAUAUAUAACAAUAAUAAUUUAAGAUAUGAAAAUUUAUAUUGAUAUUCGAAAAAUUUAAAUUGCAUUCACUACAUAUUAUUUCGUAAAAUUGUAG
rnacentral:misc_RNA from 1 species